UACGUAGGGGGCAAGCGUUGUCCGGAAUCAUUGGGCGUAAAGAGCGUGUAGGCGGCCCGAUAAGUCCGCUGUGAAAGUCCAGGGCUCAACCCUGGAAUGCCGGUGGAUACUGUCGGGCUCGAAUCCGGAAGAGGUGAGUGGAAUUCCUGGUGUAGCGGUGAAAUGCGCAGAUAUCAGGAGGAACACCAAUUGCGAAGGCAGCUCGCUGGGACGUAACUGACGCUGAGACGCGAAAGCGUGGGGAGCAAACAGG
rnacentral:rRNA from 1 species